rnacentral:rRNA from 1 species
AAAGGCGGAAACCGUGAAAGGGGGACACCGAGUGCCAGCAACAUUUGUUGGCUGUCCACAUGCGUAAAAUGCAUGUGUUAGCAAGGGCCGGGCAAGACCGGUGCCAGCCGCCGCGGUAACACCGGCGGCCCGAGUGGUGAUCGUUAUUAUUGGGUCUAAAGGGUCCGUAGCCGGUUUGGUCAGUCCUCCGGGAAAUCUGUCAGCUCAACUGAUAGGCUUUCGGGGGGUACUGCCAGACUUGGAACCGGGAGAGGUAAGAGGUACUACAGGGGUAGGAGUGAAAUCUUGUAAUCCCUGUGGGACCACCUGUGGCGAAGGCGUCUUACCAGAACGGGUUCGACGGUGAGGGACGAAAGCUGGGGGCACGAACCGGAUUAGAUACCCGGGUAGUCCCAGCCGUAAACGAUGCUCGCUAGGUGUCAUGCAUGGUGCGACCGUGUAUGGCGCCGUAGGGAAGCCGUGAAGCGAGCCACCUGGGAAGUACGGCCGCAAGGCUGAAACUUAAAGGAAUUGGCGGGGG